CGGGUGAGUAACACGUGAGCAACCUGCCCCGAAGACCGGGAUAACAGUGGGAAACCGCUGCUAAUACCGGAUGUCCCCACCGAGUCUCAUGGCUUGGUGAGGAAAUGGACUCCGCUUCGGGAGGGGCUCGCGGCCUAUCAGCUUGUUGGUGGGGUAACGGCCUACCAAGGCGACGACGGGUAGCUGGUCUGAGAGGACGAUCAGCCACACUGGGACUGAGACACGGCCCAG
rnacentral:rRNA from 1 species